GAGUCCUAUACACCAACCCAAUUUCAACAACACAAAUAGUGCUCGGCCACAACCUCAACCUCAGGUUUAUAAUAUUAACAAGAAUGAUUUUCGGAGCAUUGUUCAGCAACUGACAGGUUCACCUUCUCAAGAGCCUCCACCUAGACCUCCUCAGAAUCCUUCAAAGCCUCAGAGUAUGAGAUUACAAAAGAUUCGGCCACCGCCUCUGACUCCAAUAAAUCGUUCCCAAAUUCCAAUCCACCCUCCUGCACAGGUCCCAGCCCCUGCCCAAUCUGCAGGAGGUGUUCCUUACCAUAACACUAUUGUGAGACCGCCUCACUAUGGUCAGCCGUCACCCUCUAUGUUACCACCCACUCCUGGAGAUGUAUGGACAAAUACAGCUGAGUCUCCAAUUUCAGUUUAUAUGCGUUAUCUUCAAAAUUCAAUAAUAGAUUCUGGGCCUAGACAAGCACAAUUUCAAGGUCCUGGUCAUUUUCAAGCACAUCCACCAUCAUCUGGUUUACUACCUAAUCCUUCAAUGCCACUUCUUCCAUCUCCUAGAAUGAAUGGCCCACCCCCUCUUCCAUCCCCACGUUUGAAUGGUCCUCCUCCACCUCUUCCUUCCCCGGGAAUAAAUGGGCCUCCUCCUUUGCCUUCACCGACUUCUCAGUAUCUUUUGCCAUCACCCACUGGCUUUUUGAACUUGUUAUCUCCCCGGUCCCCUUAUCCAUUGCUUUCUCCGGGUAUGCAUCAUCCUCCACCACUUACACCAAAUUUCUCCUUCUCUCC
rnacentral:lncRNA from 1 species